rnacentral:rRNA from 1 species
UUCGGGCCUCAUGCCAUCAGAUGUGCCCAGAUGGGAUUAGCUAGUAGGUGGGGUAACGGCUCACCUAGGCGACGAUCCCUAGCUGGUCUGAGAGGAUGACCAGCCACACUGGAACUGAGACACGGUCCAGACUCCUACGGGAGGCAGCAGUGGGGAAUAUUGCACAAUGGGCGCAAGCCUGAUGCAGCCAUGCCGCGUGUGUGAAGAAGGCCUUCGGGUUGUAAAGCACUUUCAGCGGGGAGGAAGGCGUUAAGGUUAAUAACCUUGGCGAUUGACGUUACCCGCAGAAGAAGCACCGGCUAACUCCGUGCCAGCAGCCGCGGUAAUACGGAGGGUGCAAGCGUUAAUCGGAAUUACUGGGCGUAAAGCGCACGCAGGCGGUCUGUCAAGUCGGAUGUGAAAUCCCCGGGCUCAACCUGGGAACUGCAUUCGAAACUGGCAGGCUAGAGUCUUGUAGAGGGGGGUAGAAUUCCAGGUGUAGCGGUGAAAUGCGUAGAGAUCUGGAGGAAUACCGGUG